rnacentral:rRNA from 1 species
GAUGAACGCUAGCGAUAGGCCUAACACAUGCAAGUCGAGGGGCAGCAUAGAGUAGCAAUACUUUGAUGGCGACCGGCGCACGGGUGAGUAACACGUAUGCAACCUACCUACAUCAGGGGAAUAACCCGGAGAAAUUCGGACUAAUACCGCAUAAUACAGGGAUGCCGCAUGGCAAUAUUUGUUAAAGAUUUAUCGGAUGUAGAUGGGCAUGCGUUCCAUUAGCUUGUUGGUGAGGUAACGGCUCACCAAGGCAACGAUGGAUAGGGGAACUGGGAGGUUUGUCCCCCACACGGGAACGGAGACACGGACCAGACUCCUACGGGGGGCAGCAGUGAGGAAUAUUGGUCAAUGGACGAGAGUCUGAACCAGCCAAAUCGCGCGAAGGAAGACUGCCCUACGGGUUGUAAACUUCUUUUGUACAGGAAUAAAAGACAUUACGUGUAAUGUAUUGCAUGUACUGUACGAAUAAGCAUCGGCUAACUCCGUGCCAGCAGCCGCCGUAA